UUGAAAAGAAAACGUUAAGAAAGAACGGACAGGAUUCCAUGCACCGUCGGGUCACUUGCACCAGCAGUGUGCAAGUCACGUGUGCUAACAGUUGAAUACCAACGUUAGCUGGUCGUUGGUUAGUGAACAAUAGUCAAACGCAGACCAAAAAUAUCGUAGUGCAGUAAAAGCCAAAUUUACCACAACACCUACUGAGUCUGGGCGCUGGGCACCUCGACCGUCUUCCUCACUUUCUCUCAAAACCCAGAACUCCAAAGCACAUCGCACGCGUUUCCAUUUUUGGCGGGUUCUCUUCACAAAUCACAAUUGGUUCCCAACCAAAUUGAAUUUGAGGGUUUUGGAUUCGAUCUGAAUCCGAUAGUGAUCGAAAGCAAAAGGCUUUGCAAGAAUCAAUGCCUCAAGAUUUUCCGUCGGAUCAGGAAGCGGACGAUGCCGAAGCUGAGUUCACUAAGGUUGAUCUCACUGGUCGUUACGGACGGUAUAUAGAGGUUUUAGGCAAAGGGGCUUUGAAGGAAGUGUAUCCUUUUUGCUCUGUUCUUUGUCAAAGUUUCAUUGAUAGGUUGAUGAAUUGAAUUGUUGUAGCCUGAAUUGAUGAUUGUUUAGCAUUUAUUCUUGCUGGAAAGAUUGUGGUCCUCAUUAUCUUCUUUCUCACUGUGGCUGCUAAAUGCACAUCAGAAUUUGGCUAUAAGACUAUCUUAAGAAUAGCUUCCUCAAGUCUCAGUCAAGAAUUUGGUACGGAAACCGUAAAUUGAUCGAGCUAGAGCUCUCGUAGUAGCUACUGCGGCUUUGUUUGUGAUGCUGCAUAUAUUCAAAUUCCCAAUGACUAAGAGCUCAAAGGAAAGCAUGGGAGAAAAUCAGCUGUGUUUCCAUCUAUUUGAAUUUUGUUGCAAGAGAGGAAACUUGUUAGCAGAAGUGGUUUUUGUUCUAAAAGCCUAUGUGUAGACUUUUUGUUCUAAAGCAUAUUGAACUUUUUGGUAAAAUGCCUCGUAAAAUGAGAAUUUAUUUA